ensembl:lncRNA novel transcript
GUGAGACGUGCCUUCGCUCCUCUUUUGCUUUCUGCCAUGACUGUGAGGCCUCCCCAGCCAUGUGGAACUGGUGGAUAUCCUCCUCCACUGAAUGCAAACUAUUAAGUAAUGAAAAGACAGCACUCCAAGCAAUAUAGAUUUAUAGGCCAACCUGGCAAUCAAGGGUAACUGACAUGAAAAUGGAUUGCUUCACAUUUUAAUUACAAAGAUACUCUUCAGUACCAUAAAUUGAAGAAAACACUAACUUUUUGUGGCUACUGUAAUUGUCAAAGUAUAAUUACCUGUGUUUUCUCACCUACGUAUUUGAGAUAGAGACAAAACCAAGUAAGUUAAUCCACUUAUAAUAAAAAUGUCUUCUGA